AUUUAUAUUUAUUUAUUUGUAGUCCCUUUUUGAAGGGAAAGAAAUUAUGUAUACACCUCAUGUGUAUAUAGACAAUUUUUUUUCCCAUAUAUUCACUUGUAAAAAGGGUAAAUAAAUUUUAUAAUUUAAUCACAUGUGUAUUUUUAUUUUAUUUAUAAGUUUUUUAUGAAUAAAAUUAGUAGUAAAUAUACAUGCUUCGUGCGAUAAAGACAUUUAAAAAAGAGAUGAACCAAAAAAUCUUCAUAAGCGAUAUAUACGUUAGAUAUGUAAUAGACAU
rnacentral:sRNA from 1 species